AUGAAUGUCUACGCGCCCUCUGAUCAUGCUCUCACUAAUGAUUUCGUCGAGGAUUUGACCGCGGUCUCCUCGGGCAUCUCCGGGCCUUGGAUUGCGCUUGGGGAUUUCAAUCUGAUAAGGCCCCCCUGCGAGAAGAAUAACCAUAACUUUGAUGCGUCUAGGGCAGCGAUCUUCAACUCUCUCAUCAACUCCCUGGCCCUGCAUGAACUGGCCUUAACGGAUCGCCGUUUCACCUGGACGAACCGCAGGGAUCCGCCGACUCUGGCCCGGCUCGACAGGGCUUUCGUUGACACUGAAUGGGGAACAUCCUUCCCGGACUCGGCCCUCUCCUUGUGUCCCCAGCCUACCUCUGACCAUGUUCCCCUAGUUGUCGCCACGUCUACCCGUAUUCUCAAACCUGCUCGCUUCUUCUUUGAGAGCUCUUGGCUACUCAACCCUCGUUUCCUUCCCACUACCAUUCCAUCCUGGACGGGCGCUAUAGGCCGGCAUUGUGCGGCGGGAAGACUCGCUGCACGUAAGAAGAAGUUUCGGUCUGUGGCCAAGGUCUAG
rnacentral:rRNA from 1 species